CUUUUGCAAUUAGAAUGUCAUCAAAUUCAAAUGUUAAGCUUGCAAAGAUGUCCCAAUAGCAAUCAAGUUGCUUGUUUGGUGACAAAGAAAGAUCCAGUUUCAGCAGUAGUAUAGUUUAAGGCUUUCUAGAGUGAAGCACUUAACCACAGAAUGAAUGUCCUGUGUGCAUGAGCAGGGCCUAUGAAGAUAAGCAGGGCCUAAGAUGAUGAAGAUCUAAUCUUUCAUUGGAAGACACUUGGGUGAUGCUAUAGGAUAAUGAAGAUUUCAUCUUCCGUUGGAGGAUACCUCAGAUGUCCAGAUCUUUAGGUCUUUUCUUUUAGGCUUUGGCUGUAUCUAGCAUAUCUCAAUCCAGAAACUUUCUGGUCCACAUUCUGCACAGUACACUUAACUCAGGUGGCCUGCUGAGGUCCUCAAAGGGGUCCUGUAGCUGAACUGGAAAAUGGAAAAGGCCGAAGCCAUUCUUCUUUCUGAGGUUUUGCAAUGAAAACUGUCCUGUAUUUUGUUGACCUCCCACUGCCAUUGCUUCACCACCAUCUACACCCACACCUCCCCACCCCCAGACACUGGGCUUCAUGUUUCUCUGAGAACAUGGACUUCAAUUCACCAUCUUAAUUCAGAAGUAUAAUGAUUUAAGAAGGCUCAGCUGCAGAUAUGUAAAGAGAGAUUUGCAAAAGCAUAAUCAAGUCAAGUCAUGGCAAGGUCAUAAGAAGCAGUCACAAAAGCAGCAGUAAUUUGAGUGCGAAUGGCAGUUUUCAUCAUGACUAUGCCCGUUCACAGGGACUCUUUGAAACAGAAGUUUGGUUGGAAGCAUUUCCCAUUCUGCUUGUGGCAGGGCAUGAAAGGGGCACAGAGGCUAUGGAUGCAUUGUUCCCCAGGCCCAGGCUCCUUCCUGGCUGUGUGAUGAUGGGCAAGUUGCUGGCCUCUCCAGUUGUGUCUUUGGAAAAUAGAUGUAAUUGCACCUACCUCAUUGGGUUAUGCAGAAGAUGAAUGAGAUCAUGCAUGAGAGUCCCUAGCACAGUGCCUGGCACACAGUCCCUCCCAUCAACAGUAGUUGAAGCUCAUUCCCUCACAGCCGUUAGAAUCAAUUGUGGGCCUAGAGGGCUUUCAUUUUGUCUCUGCUUACAGUUCUUUGCCCCGCUGGAAAAGGAGUUAGAAAGAAAGAAAAAUAAAACAAUAAAUCACA